AUAGGAACACCCAGUAUCACCUCACACUUUCAUCAACUUCAAAGACUUUUCCUCCCAAUAUUCUACCCCGUUGCCCUUCAAAAAUCCAUCCAAGAAAUUUCAUUAAUUAAUGUUUUACAAUGAAAUAUUUGAAAAGUUUCCCAUAAAUUAGAAGAUUUUCCCUAAGGUUUAAAACUCAAUACCCAUGUAUAGGGGCAUUAGCUGGCAUGCCCCUUUAAAAACCUUGUGUCCUUGAGGCUCCUGUCUGGGCUGUGCACCAGCAUUCAUGAUAACAGUCCUUGGCCAACCCAGCUCCUUUCCCGUGGGAGAGUUAGCACCAAGACCCUCACGGUAUGAAGGAACAUGGAGGCCCUCCAGGGGGGCUCUGGUCCUUGGAAUGUGGGUCGUACAGGGACUAUCUCCCUUGGCAAGCACGCAGCCUUUGUUCCUCUGCCUACUUAAGCAAGCUUCUCUUAGGGAGCAGUAGCGGGUGCAGGUUGCUGUCCAGACGGCAGCCACCGGACCUUCCCUGUAAGUAACUCCCAAUAAACCCAUAUGUCUCAUUCGCUGUCUCCGGGUCUUUUCUUUGGUCUCUCAGCAACCUGUCCCACACUGCUCACCCAGGUGUGCGUGUGGCGGAACACUAUGUUUCCUCAUCCUUAGAGAGACAUGCAGCCCUAAAAUUGCACAAAAUCAUUUCCUUUAAAUCCACAUGCCCCUUUUAAAUAAUCUUUAAAUAAAUCUCAAAUCUCAGGAAGUCUUUCCUAGAUCAGGUCUUAGUCUUCUGCCCCAGGCCCCAGAGUUUCUCUGAGAGCUACCAUCCGUUUGUCAGGGAGCAAAACAAAGCCCUCGGCCAAUCAGACCGUUUUUAAGAGGAGCUUCUCCACCUUGAUUGUGCGUUAGAACCACCUGAGACCUUCAGAACUACUGAUGCUUGGGGCCCAAAUUUUAUCAUUAUGUGAGACUCUCUGGAAAGGGACCGUCAUCAGGAUAGUUAAACCCUCUCCAGGUGGUUCUAAUCUGCAGCCUGGGCAUGACUCAGUUUACUAAAGUCUCCACCUCACUGGAGCACAAUGAGGUGGGAAUGGACCAAGGAGGCCCCUUCACCCGGGUGCAGAUCAUGGCAAAGUGCACGCUGUUCCUCUAAGGAUGCAGAUGUCAAACCAGACAACACGGUAGAACCACCAAGGGAGCUUUUCACAAAUACUACUGCCUGGAACCCAGCCCCAAAUCAUCAAGUCUGAAUCACUGGGGUUGGCCUUUGAAAUGACUUCCAGAUGAAUCUGUGUAGAAUCAGGGCUGGCAAGCUAUUUCACCACUGAAUUCACUCGCAGACAGGAUUCACGAUACUCUGAGUUUCUGGACUAGUGGGAGAGCUAUGCUUAACCUGGAAGUUAUAUUGAAUUGUACGAGUGUUUGUCAAGGUUGAAGACAGAAUAACAGGGAAACAACUCUGAGGGGGGUCACUGUCUGGGAAGGCGUCUAUGUACCAAGUGACUGCCCGAGACCUGCAUGAGGAGUAUGAGCCUGCUUGAUGAAUGGCAUUAGUGGAGGAUGGAAGAGGAGCAAACACAUCCAAGACCUUUAAUAGUGGCUAGAGCUCCCAUGGGCUUCAGAGACUGCCAGAAGCGGAGAGGAGCAAACACGUUUCUACACUCCGAGACCUCCUGACUCUCCUGAGCUCCAGCAAGGCAGACCAAGAGCCAGCUGUCUGCAGAUCCUGGAUUAGGCCCUGUGGCUGCGGAGAAAACUCAGGGAUAAAAAUGAGGAUAAACUGGGAGGGAACCUGCUUCUUGUGUGUCUGUGGGAGGAUAGAGAAGGAAACUGGAGCCCAGCAUGGCAAUUACCUUGAACAGAAAUCCACACUUGUAAUUUCAGAGCUGAGAAUAAGAACCCAGCACUGUGGCUCUGAAACCAAGAACUAAGAGGUUAAAAUAUCUUCGCUAGAACAAAUACUUUGAGAUAAGCUUUGCUAACUGCAGCUGUGCAUAUUCAACAUAAUCAACUGUUGUUGAAAACUAACCAGAUGUCCCUCCUUAGUAUAUGAGUGAGCUGUCUUUCCCAGAAAUUCAACAUCCAGACAUCAAGACUCAAUCUUCAAGGCCAAAUGCAGGCAGGUGGGAAGAUGCCAACUAGUAAGGCCACAUGCACUCACUCCCCUACCUAAAACCCAGCACAUGCUUCCCCUCCCCUCCCUAAAACCCCAGAUAAAAGCCUCUACCUUUAUCCCUUCAGUGAGGUGGAUCUGAGUUCUAACUCCAUCUCCUCGUCUGGCUGCUUUUUCAAUAAUAGUAAACCUCUUUCCUUGCCACAAGCCUGGUGUUUCUGGUUUUUUCUUUGCUGAUCCUCCUGUGAAAAAGGUAAACGAACCUGUGUUUGGGUUCAGUUGCAGCUGCUGACCUUAAUAGCUGUCCUAUGCUGCCUCUGAACUGUUUGGUGGUAUAUCCCCUCACAAAUUCUGGGAGAUUUAAUGGGAUUGUGUGUCUGCUUUGAUAUUUUAUCUUAGUUAUUGUAUUUUUCAUUGCCAGAGGUUCCAUUUAGGUUGUUUGUGUCUUCCUAUUAUCUCCUUGCAUUCCUGCUUCCUCUCCAUGCUUGACGAUAGGAAGUCCAUUUCUCAUGCUUGUUUUCCAGGCCUUCUAUACCAGUUCUACCAUCUGUGUCAUUUCUGGGUCUACUGGUUGAUUUCUCUGCUAGUGGUGAAUUGUAUUUCUCUGUUUUAUCGCACACCUCGUAAUUCUAGGUGGGACACCAGCAUUGUGCAUUUUACAUUGUUUGGUGCUGGGUAUUUUAUGUUCUUUUAAAUAAUAUUGGGCUUUGUUCUGUCAUGCCAUUAAAUUUCUUGGAAUAUUGAUGCUUUGGAGGAUGUUUGGAAUCGUUGUGAGCUAGGACUGGAACAGGCUUCUGGUUGUGCAUGAGUUGGCUCCACUGCUGGGCUAUACCGUUAGGAGCACUCUAUUUGAAUCCUCCUGGACUGGGGGUCUUUACACUUUGGUGGCUGGGGACACAGAUUCUUCCUGGUCCUGAGUGACCUCAGGGAACUAUUUCUGUUCUGAACGUUUGAAUAUUCGAUUCACGGUUUUUCCAUCUGAAUACUGGUUUAUUUUGAAGACAAAUUUUCAUUCAAAAUAAUUUAUUCUCAUCUUACGAAUUCUUCUUAUGUUUCUCUUAUGUGGAUGUCAUCAUUUUCUCUUCAUUUGAAAAUAUCCUAUUUUUCU
rnacentral:lncRNA from 1 species